rnacentral:snRNA from 1 species
UCCUAUUUUAUCUUAUAUAAUAU